UAAAUUUUGAAUCUAAGAAAA
rnacentral:piRNA from 1 species